UACAGAGGUCUCAAGCGUUGUUCGGAUUCAUUGGGCGUAAAGGGUGCGUAGGCGGCGCGGUAAGUCGGGUGUGAAAUCUCGGGGCUUAACUCCGAAACUGCAUUCGAUACUGCCGUGCUUGAGGACUGGAGAGGAGACUGGAAUUUACGGUGUAGCGGUGAAAUGCGCAGAUAUCAGGAGGAACACCGGUGGCGAAGGCGGGUCUCUGGGCCGAUACUGACGCUGAGGAGCGAAAGCGUGGGGAGCGUACAGG
rnacentral:rRNA from 1 species